GUGGGGAAUAUUCCGCAAUGGACGAAAGUCUGACGGAGCAACGCCGCGUGAGUGAUGAAGGUUUUCGGACUGUAAAGCUCUGUUGUUUAGGACGAAAGUGCCUGUUGCAAAUAGUUACAGGUAUUGACGGUACUGAACGAGGAAGCCACGGCUAACUACGUGCCAGCAGCCGCGGUAAUACGUAGGUGGCAAGCGUUGUCCGGAAUUAUUGGGCGUAAAGAGCAUGUAGGCGGGAAUCUAAGUCUGUUGUGAAAAUGCGGGGCUCAACCACGUAUUGCGAUGGAAACUGGGUUUCUUGAGUGCAGGAGAGGAAAGGGGAAUUCCCAGUGUAGCGGUGAAAUGCGUAGAUAUUGGGAGGGACACCAGUGGCGAAGGCGGCUUCCUGGCACAAUACUGACGCUCAUGUGCGAAAGCUAGGGCAGCGAACGGGAUUAGAAACCCCGGUAGUCC
rnacentral:rRNA from 1 species